UGAGGGACUAAAGUUGUGUAAGUGAAAACUAGUAAUAAUAAAACAAAAAAAAAAAUUAAAACACAACACUUGUUUGUGUUCUUGGGUUCGAUCAGAAGGCAGGGGGCGACUUCAUGCUCCCCAAAACCCUAGUUCACAUCAAAAACCACCAAUUGAAGGAUCAAAUCGAGUCCAAAACGAAAAUCGAGCAUAUAUUCGUGAUCCCCAUUGAAAGGAGAUCAUAAGUUUGUCGCCUAACGAGCUAGGUGGAGGCUUGGAAAAGAAGCGGUCAAACGAAUCAAGCACGAGAAGAAAACGUAUUCGGAUGCGAGGUGAAGAUGGGAUAAGCGGUUUGAAAGAUACGAAAGUUUUCGUGCAAAUAAACGGCAAAAUAGGAAAGCUGGAAUGCAGGGGCCACCGUAACUUACGGUGCCACCGUAAGUUACGGUGGAGCUGAAGGCUUUACGGCAGCCCCCUACUGAUUUACAGUGUAUGCUGAGAGCCCGGAUGAAGAUCAAGCGUCAAGCUCAAUGAGGAACCGAACACAUGUUUAAUAAAGCUUCCGCAACGUUGUUGUGUCGUUAUUCUAAACGGCGAAUUAAAUCACAUUAUGUAUAUCGCUCAAAUUAUAAAAGUUUUUAACAAGCCUGUAUUUUCAUUAUAAUUGU